GAUGAACGCUGACAGAAUGCUUAACACAUGCAAGUCUUUGGCGAAUCUGUGCUUGCACAGGCUAGCCAAGGCGGACGGGUGAGUAACGCGUAAAGAACUUGCCCUGCAGACAGGGAUAACAGACGGAAACGACUGAUAACACCUGAUACAGUUGCCGGCACGCAUGUGCCUGGCAAUGAAAAGAGAUGCUGCAGGAGAGCUUUGCGUCCUAUUAGCUUGUUGGUGAGGUGACGGCUCACCAAGGCGAUGAUAGGUAGCCGGCCUGAGAGGGUGAACGGCCACAAGGGGACUGAGAUACGGCCCUUACUCCUACGGGAGGCAGCAGUGGGGAAUAUUGGACAAUGGGGGCAACCCUGAUCCAGCAAUUCUGUGUGCACGAAGAAGGUUUUCGGAUUGUAAAGUGCUUUCAGCAGGGAAGAAGAGAGUGACGGUACCUGCAGAAGAAGCGACGGCUAAAUACGUG
rnacentral:rRNA from 1 species